UUUUCCUCACUCCCUCACCUCACGCAAUCUCUGCUCUCUCUCCUCCCGCCUAUGCCCGUCGCGUCUCCUCCUCCCUCCUGCUCCUCUCGCUCUCCUCAGCACGAGCACGGCAGCUGCUCCUCUCGCUCUCCUCAGCGCGGCAGCGCCUCCUCGUGCUCCAGACCACGGGUGAGUCACCUCCGGUCGGCGCCGCCGCCAGCGGUUCGGGCCUCCUUCGCCUCCCACACCGUCGACCUUGGUGGCCAUCUCCACCGCCUCCUUGUUCCGCCGGUCCGGCGCGACCACCACCUACCAGCUCUGCCCCGACAAGCUCCGCCACCAUGCGCGGGGCGCACCUUCUGCAAGCUUCAACGUCCCGGCUCUGUCCUACUCCUCUCGACCGCGCCGCCAAGCUCAGGUCCGGCCAGCAUGGAUCUCUGCCAUCAGACGUCGCGCGUCCAAAUCCAUGGCGUUCUCCGCCGUCCUCCUCGUGCAGUGCAACGCUACUCCCCACGCCCACGGUGGUCGGGGCUGCUACCAAGUUGCUACCAGCUUGGAUGAUUGCUUUUGGAUGAUUUUUGCUGUUGGCCGCAUGAUUUGCUACAUUGUUAUUUUUAUUUUGCUAUUUUCUGUUUUAUAAAUGCUGUAAUAUUGUUAAAACAAAAUAACAGUUUGUGGUUUUUUCUCAUCUUAUGUGCAGGUAACAAUGCAAUAAAGCGAGGUGGAACGGGGGCAGGAGCCAUCACCGGCCACUCUGUUUCCUAGCUUUUCGGGCAGUGUGGCAUCAAUGGCGUACAACCAUAGUGGCCAACUUUUGGUAGUUGCUUCAAACUUUACUCAUCAAGGAGCAGAUAGAGUCUGGAGGUGGAGGGGCACCAGAUAUUUAUCGAAACGAUGCGGGAUUCCAAAAGGAAGAAGUCUCCCUGAGAGUAGAAGCUCUCUUCUUACCCAGACCGGUCCAGCCGACUACUUGUACAAUUAAUCGAGCCCUACCACUGUAGUCCCCCCCUAACAUUAUUGAGCUGGGCAGAGUAGCAUUCAUGCCAUUGUAUGUUGUGUUUUGUUUUAUGUAUGUUUAGGCCUCUUUUUUAGUGAGAUGAAACAAGAGAGCAACUUGUUGGAAGUAAUACAUUUGAUGUGUGCAAUCCAAUGAGUGCUGAGGCACGCAGUGAAUAUUGUUA